AGAGUUUGAUCCUGGCUCAGGACGAACGUUGGCGGUGCGCUUAAUGCAUGCAAGUCGAGGGAGAAGCAUUUGAUCCGUAAGGUUCAGAUGUGGAAACCGGCGAACGGGUGCGUAACACGUGAGAAACCUGCCCCCUUGACCGGGAUAGCCCGAGGAAACUCGGAUUAAUACCGGAUACUCUCUUUGGAUCGCAUGAUCCGUUGAGGAAACAGUCCGCUGCUAGGGGAUGGUCUCGCGGCCUAUCAGGUAGUUGGUGAGGUAACGGCUCACCAAGCCUAAGACGGGUAGCUGGUCUGAGAGGACGAUCAGCCACACUGGAACUGAGACACGGUCCAGACUCCUACGGGAGGCAGCAGCAGGGAAUAUUGCACAAUGGGCGAAAGCCUGAUGCAGCGACACCGCGUGCGGGAUGACGGCCUUAGGGUUGUAAACCGCUUUCAGGAGGGAAGAAAAUGACGGUACCUCCAAAAGAAGCUCCGGCCAACUACGUGCCAGCAGCCGCGGUAAUACGUAGGGAGCAAACGUUGUCCGGAUUUAUUGGGCGUAAAGGGCUCGUAGGCGGUUCAACAAGUCGAUCGUGAAAGCCCGGGGCUCAACCCCGGGAGGCCGGUCGAAACUGUUGUGACUAGAGUUCGGUAGAGGUGAGUGGAAUUCUCGGUGUAGCGGUGGAAUGCGCAGAUAUCGAGAGGAACACCAUUA
rnacentral:rRNA from 1 species